rnacentral:rRNA from 1 species
UGGGGAAUUUUGGACAAUGGGCGAAAGCCUGAUCCAGCAAUGCCGCGUGUGUGAAGAAGGCCUUCGGGUUGUAAAGCACUUUUGUCCGGAAAGAAAUCCUUGGCUCUAAUACAGUCGGGGGAUGACGGUACCGGAAGAAUAAGCACCGGCUAACUACGUGCCAGCAGCCGCGGUAAUACGUAGGGUGCAAGCGUUAAUCGGAAUUACUGGGCGUAAAGCGUGCGCAGGCGGUUCGCUAAGACCGAUGUGAAAUCCCCGGGCUCAACCUGGGAACUGCAUUGGUGACUGGCAGGCUAGAGUAUGGCAGAGGGGGGUAGAAUUCCACGUGUAGCAGUGAAAUGCGUAGAGAUGUGGAGGAAUACCGAUGGCGAAGGCAGCCCCCUGGCCAAUACUGACGCUCAUGCACGAAAAGCGUGGGGGAGCAAAACAGGAUUAGAUACCCUGGUAGUCCACGCCCUAAACGAUGUCAACUAGUUGUUGGGGAUUCAUUUCCUUAGUAACGUAGCUAACGCGUGAAGUUGACCGCCUGGGGGAGUACGGUCGCAAGAUUAAAACUCAAAGGAAUUGACGGGGUCAUAGCUGUUUCCU